rnacentral:lncRNA from 1 species
UAGAAGGGCCCAGAGUAGACGCAGCAUGCCACUCACAACAGGAAAAGGUGGAAACAGGCCAAACGUCCAGUCGUGGAUGAAAGGUUGGACAGAAUGAGUUCUCUCUACAGGGCGGGAAGUCCUGACAUAAAAGCUAGUGAAGUGCUGAUACGUGCUACAACUUGCAUGGAGCCUGAAUCAUUAAGUGCAACAGGCCAGUCACAAAAAGAUUAGACGCAGUGAAGGGGCUAUCACAAUCUUCCAGGUGGAAUCCCCCAUUGCUGGACAUAGCUGGUAAGUCAUGGUGAAGACACGUCUCAGCACUGGGCGCGCACACGACACCUUUCAAGACAACGUACUUUUACUGCUGCACUCGGGGACAGCCCCUCAGAACCCAGAGUUCAUCAACUCCACGGACUCUUGGGGUAGUGCACAAGGUCCCAAGCUCACCUCCGGGGUCUUUCUCAUGAGACCACAGCAGCAUGGACUGCGGUUCAAACAGAAGGCUCUUCCCAACCUGACUGUAAAGCUGCACCUGCAUGAAGUUCAGGUCUGGAGAUGCCAGCUCACACGUGGCAUCUAAAUGCUGUGCUCGGAACUCCGAAGAGGGGACCCCCACCCACCCAGUAUUUACGCUGGGUCUGUAACUUACACAGAAGGGCUUGUUGCUUGACAAUUUAGAUAAAAAUGUUACUGCCUCUGCAUGUGCUGCAAUCUCACGGUGUAAACCACUGGAGCAGCUAAUGGAGUCUUCACACAUCAUAUCUUGUUAAAGAAGAGGGCCCUCCGCUAUCGGAUUCACAGCCCAGCAGCAAAGUGCAGCCACACCUGGGAAGGCAGCUUAGCUGGCCUGGGCCUGGCCACAACUCAUCAGCUCUGACCAACUAUCCUAUGCCUCAUUUUUUUUUUUAGUGGAAAAUAUGAACUUCAUUUUCAAAUAGCAAGGUCCCUAGUCCCCCAAUGGUAGGACAAAAACUAGACAGUUACACAGAAAACAUAUCUCUAUCUACCCUGACCAAUAAGCUAUCUACCACUAUGAGUCCUUUAAACACCUUUACACACUUGUCCAUGUUUCUUAAAGUAACUGAGAAAAACAUCGCGCUAAGGGCAUUAAUGAGAAAUUCACGGUUGGGCCCUGAAAGACAGGAUUCCGCUGCUGGCGUACUGCUAACAGACCUGGAUAACGGGGUCAUCUGUUCAUUUUACUAUCUAGUUCAUCAUCCACAUGUGCACUUUUAAUUGAAACUUAACUUUUAUAUCCGAUGUUCCAGCACAGAAAACAUCUCUGGAGGUGGAGGUGGUAUAAGCGUUUCCCUAAGCGACUCUCUAAAAGAAUUCUACCUUCAAUUUUCUGUUGAGUUAAAUAAACAAACUGUGACGCACUUGCCUUUUCACCUCCACUCCCCCAUUUCGGCUCCUUCUGGGCAGGUUCUGGGGUGACCAAGCAGAGCCUCUUCAAAACCCUAGUUCAGCCCAGAGUCACCUCCAAAGGCUUGUUCAUCGACCUUUCCCCAGCUAAGCUGCCACUCACCACCAAACUCUCCCAAGGAGAGGGAGAGGGGAGUAAAUGUUAAGUCUACCUAACUCAUUUCAUAAGUGACCUCUGAAAGAUUUCAACGCAGAGCCUGGGAAAGACAAGGCGGCUUUAUUAGCAUGCUGAACCACGGCCGCAGCCCCCUCCCCUCCCUCUUUUAUGAGCCCUUGUUAUAUAAAAUGCCACAAAGGGAAAUGGAAAAACAACACCCUUGCAGUUAAAAACACAAGUUCCAAUGGCCAGGCCAAAUCCUGGCUGCUUACCCAAUGUUGUUUAGUCAUUUAAAAGGGAAACAUUUCUAAAAGGCCGGAGAAAAAAAGUUUUCCUUGUUUUCUUUCUUUUUAAACACACACUCACACACACAAAAAGAUGGAGGUCAGUUCGCAAGCAAGCCUCCUUCCCGGAGUUCAAAUUUAAAGGCAAAGGCAGCCCGGAGUCGGAGAGCUCCUUCCCGAAGCUGCUGCAACCUUCAAACAGGAUUUUCAAAUGUUUCUUUCGGCUUAUCUAAAUUCCGGCAUGACAGAUAAUAAAUAGCGACUCAUUUACUAUCAUCA